AUAUAUAUCAACCCUCUUCUCUUGUUGAGUGGUUUGGAUGUGGGGGUUUGCUUUGCUGGCCUCUUUUUGAGAGGUUCAGCUCCCCUGAAAUGCAUUAGCAGAACGACCUGUUCAUUGGUGUGAUAAACUAUCUACGCUAUUGAACGUGAGGCAGUUCAGCUUCCUAACAGUCCUCCGGACAAAUUUAUCAUUUA
rnacentral:misc_RNA from 1 species